rnacentral:tRNA from 1 species
CAAAACAUAGCUUAACUAAAGCUCCUUGCUUACACCAAGAAAAUGUCUACUCACCCAGACUGUUUUGAAA